rnacentral:misc_RNA from 1 species
UCUCCGUUGGUGAACCAGCGGAGGGAUCAUUCCAGAGAUCAUGCCCUCUAAGGGUAGACCUCCCACCCUGUGUUAAUAUUCUUGUUGCUUUGGCAAGCCGCCUUCGGGCUCUCGGCUCCGGCUGAGGUGCGCCUGCCAGAGGACCCCAACUCUGUGUUUAGUGUCGUCUGAGUACUAUAUAAUAAGUUAAAAAUUUCAACAACGGAUCUCUUGGUUCUGGCAUCGAUGAAGAACGCAGC